rnacentral:rRNA from 1 species
GGACCCGCACAAGCGGUGGAGCAUGUGGUUUAAUUCGAUGCAACGCGAAAAACCUUACCUACUCUUGACAUACUUGGAAGCUCUUGUAAUGAGAGUGUGCCUUUUGGAACCAAGAUACAGGUGCUGCAUGGCUGUCGUCAGCUCGUGUCGUGAGAUGUUCCGUUAAGUCGGAUAACGAGCGCAACCCUUACCCUUAUUUGCCAGCGAUUCGGUCGGGAACUAUAAGGGGACUGCCGGUGAUAAACCGGAGGAAGGUGAGGACGACGUCAAGUCAUCAUGGCCCUUACGAGUAGGGCUACACACGUGCUACAAUGGGGAAUACAGACGGACGCUAAGCCGCGAGGUGGUGCUAAUCCUAGAAAGCCGGUCGUAGUCCGGAUUGGGGUCUGCAACUCGACCCCAUGAAGUCGGAAUC